rnacentral:rRNA from 1 species
AACGAACGCUGGCGGCAUGCCUAACACAUGCAAGUCGAGCGAGUCCUUCGGGUCUACUUGCGCACUGGUGGGUAACCGGUUGGGUCCUGCCCUUGGGUUUGCAAUAACUUGGCGGAUGGGGUGCUAAUACGGGAUCAAGUCUCCCAACCAAAGGUAUAUCGCAUGUGGAUGGGCCCGGGUUGGAAUAGCGAGUUGGUAGCGUAAAACCCUACCAAGGCGACGUUCGAUAGCUGGUUUGAGAGGAUGGGCACCCACACUGGUAGUGGGACACGGCCGAGACUCCUACGGAAGGAAGCAGUGGGGAAUAUUGGACAAUGGGCGAAGGCAUGAUCCAGCAAUGCCGCGUAAGUGAUGAAGGCCUGAGGGUUGUAAAGCACUUUUACACGGGAUGAUAAUGACAGUACCGAGAGAAUAAGCUCCGGCUAACUCCGUG